CUACGGGACGCUCCAGUGAGGAAUAUUGGGCAAUGGAGGCAACUCUGACCCAGCCAUGCCGCGUGCAGGAAGACGGCCCUCUGGGUUGUAAACUGCUUUUGUUUGGGAAUAAACCCUUCUACGUGUAGGAGGCUGAAGGUACCAUUCGAAUAAGGAUCGGCUAACUCCGUGCCAGCAGCCGCGGUAAUACGGAGGAGCCAAGCGUUAUCCGGAUUUAUUGGGUUUAAAGGGUCCGUAGGCGGGUCUUUAAGUCAGUGGUGAAAGCCGACAGCUCAACUGUGGAACUGCCAUUGAUACUGGAGAUCUUGAGUGUAGUAGAAGUAGGCGGAAUAGGGCAUGUAGCGGUGAAAUGCAUAGAUAUGCCCUAGAACACCGAUUGCGAAGGCAGCUUACUAUGUUACAACUGACGCUGAGGGACGAAAGCGUGGGGAGCAAACAGGAUUAGAUACCCCGGUAGUC
rnacentral:rRNA from 1 species